UGCGUAGGUGGUUGUUUAAGUCUGAUGUGAAAGCCCUGGGCUCAACCUGGGAAUGGCAUUGGAUACUGGGCAGCUAGAGUGCGGUAGAGGGUAGUGGAAUUCCCGGUGUAGCAGUGAAAUGCGUAGAGAUCGGGAGGAACAUCUGUGGCGAAGGCGACUGCCUGGACCAGCACUGACACUGAGGCACGAAAGCGUGGGGAGCAAACA
rnacentral:rRNA from 1 species